rnacentral:tRNA from 2 species
CGGGGUGUAGGUCAUCGGUAGACCGCGCGCAUGGGGUGCGUGAAGUAGCAGGUUCAAUUCCUGUCACCCCGACCA